UGAGUCGGCCGGGUGACCGCGGCUUCCGCUCUGCUCCGGCGGGUCGGUGGUCGAGGAAGGUCGGGGCUCCACAGGGCGACGGUGCUGGCGAGAGCCAGGUGGGGGCGACCUCACGGAUCGGGCCACAGAGAAACAGUCCGCCGAUGGCUGGAGCGAUCCAGCACAGGCAAGGGUGAAACGGUGCGGUAAGAGCGCACCAGCGGCCGGAGCGAUCCGGUCGGCUCGGCAACCCCCACCCGGAGCAAGGUCGAACAGAGGGCAGGCUGCCCGCCGCUCCUCCCCCGGGAGGAACCCUCAGGUGGACCGCACAGAUGGAUGGUCACCGAACCGGACCCCCGAAAGGGACCGGGGAACAGAACCCCGCCUACAGGCCGACUCAUCGU
rnacentral:RNase_P_RNA from 1 species